rnacentral:rRNA from 1 species
UAUCCUGGCUCAGGAUGAACGCUAGCUACAGGCUUAAUACAUGCAAGUCGAGGGGAAACGAUGAGAGAGCUUGCUCUCUUAGGCGUCGACCGGCGCACGGGUGAGUAACGCGUAUCCAACCUGCCUCUGACCAAGGGAUAACCCGUCGAAAGUCGGACUAAUACCUUAUGUAGUCGUCGGAAGUCAUCUGAUGACGACGAAAGAUUUCAUCGGUGAGAGAUGGGGGAUGCGUCUGAUUAGCUUGUUGGCGGGGUAACGGCCCACCAAGGCGACGAUCAGUAGGGGUUCUGAGAGGAAGGUCCCCCACAUUGGAACUGAGACACGGUCCAAACUCCUACGGGAGGCAGCAGUGAGGAAUAUUGGUCAAUGGGCGUAAGCCUGAACCAGCCAAGUAGCGUGCAGGAUGACGGCCCUAUGGGUUGUAAACUGCUUUUAUGCGGGGAUAAAGUGAGGGACGUGUCCCUCAUUGCAGGUACCGCAUGAAUAAGGACCGGCUAAUUCCGUG